CCGGCUCAGAAAAAGUGAAACUCUCCCUUCGCUGCAUUUGUUUUGCAUUUGUUGUACAGUUGCUAGUCACUGUGGGGGAAAAAAAAAACUGGCAGCUUUGACUCUUUCACGCCAAAUUGUGUUAAGGACAUGCUGCUGUGCUAUAGUGACGGUGUGUUUUCAGAAACAGUCGGCUGGACAGCUCGCCAAGCUGAGCAAACAGAAGGCAGUGACCAUGAUUUACCCGGCUCUGUAGCCUCUGUAUUUAGUCUUUCCAGCCACCACUGCUAGCAAGUGCCUCAAAGAUAAGUUGAAGAAGCAAGUAAAAGCAUCGCAAAGACCUCAUAUGUGACGUGCUGAACAUUUUCAGAUGGGAGGCAGAAGGGAAGCAAGGCAUCAGUGACACCCUCUCAGUUUUUGACCUGAGAAGUCUCUUUGACUACGUCGAUUUAUUCCCCGUUUUCAAAGCACAAUGAAGCUGAGUCUUCUUCUACAGGCUUUUUGCCUUCUUACCACAGUAUUUCUGUGUGGAGGAGAGGGUGAGAUUACUGCAACACCAGCAACCACCAUCACAGAAAUAUCAACUGCUCCAUCGACUGCUUCAACUGAUGGAUCCAACACGGCCACAGUCACCGCAUCUGACACCACCAGUACCACCAUCAUCGGAACUGAUUCUACUGAAUCAGUUCCUACCACUGAGAUUGUUAAGGAAUCCAACUCAGGGCUUUCACCGGGUGCUAUAGCAGGCAUCACCAUCGGCUCCAUUGCCGGUGUGGGAGCAGUCGGUGGUGGUAUCUUUGGUAUAUUGAAGUACACAGGGAAGAUCUAAGACCAGCUGUUGCACAAUAAGGAUCGAAGUGGAUGUAGAUCGUCAGAUGAAACAUGUCCUAUCCUGAGAUCAGACUUAAUCCUGACCAUGCUGAGUGGAUAGAGGAAGGCUUAAAUGUCUGAAUGGCUCAAGAAGGAAUAAACUGAUAUAUGUAUAGUAUAUGUAUAUUCAAGAUUGUGAUCUCAUGGGCCAAGAGGAAGACAUAAUAAUGUCUGUUUCACCACUUUGCUAUUUUGAUUGCUUGACUGAAGGCCAGAAAAUAAUCCUUAGCUGAUCAAAACAUUUACAUAAUAGUAUGAAAUGUAUUUAUAUUUUAUUUGAUAUUUGUAUCUUAUUGACAGAUACUACUCAUCUAGUGGGUUCAGUGUAUUUAAUUUUAUGAGUUAAUCUUCCUAUUGUCCUUCACAUUUGAUGUUUUGUUUCAGUAUAAAGGGUAGACUGUUUAACUAUAAAAAAAAGGCUUUUUUGGAUACAAAACAAUGAUACUUAAGCUUUUCUAUUCUUUUAUAAAGGUAAAGAAUCUUUGUAAGUGAAUACCGAUAUUUCCUUUAAGCUAAAUAAUUUAAUUUUAUUGAUAACAUUUUCUUAAGAUUAAUUUGGCAUUUUGCUCAAAUACUGUAAUUUCCUAGUGAAAAGCUUUGCAAUCACUAUGUUUUAAAUAAAUACAUAAAUAUAAAAGUAUCAUCUGCUUUCUAUAGCAUGCAAUUCUGUCUAAUAAAAGAGUUGCUUGAGCCAUCUAGACUAUUGACUUAUACACAUACUUCCUUUAGUAGCUGAGUUAUUUGUUUAGUUUAUGAGUUUAUGACUUUUCCACCCAUCUUAGGCUUGGUGCUUCAGUUUAUGGUACAAUGAUGGUUAGGAUUGAGAACAACAGUCUAUCAUUGAAAACAGAUUGAGAAAAUAAUGUUUUGUUUGGGACUAGUUUUUUGCAAGCUUUCAAACACCUAGUGUUUCCUCAAUAAUCUGGGUCUUGCAUUGUUUGAUUUUAUGCAGUUUUGUCUCUCUGACACUUGCCCAGCUCAUGCUAGCUUGAAGAAAAAGAAUUUAAUCUUUGACAAAUAAAUAACAAAUACAGUCAAACACAAAAAACAAUGAAAUCGACAUGAAAUAUAUAACGUUCUAGUGUUAGCUAGCUAGCUAGUGUUAGCUAGCGACCAGCAAAUGUAGAACUUUUUUGUGAAACUCUACAAGAAAAAACUAAAAGUAAUCAAACUGUACUUGAAGUAAAUUCAAAAUGCCAACUAUGACAAUUAUGUGCCCAAAGCUGUGGUGUAAAACGGUUGAUGCCAUACUCAUGGUUAUGGUAGGGUGACCAACUGUCCUCUUUUUCCUGGACAUGUCCACUUUUCACAUUCUGUCCGAGCCGUCCGGGGGCAUUUUCGAGAUUGAUGAAAAUGUCCGGGUUUUUCUAUAGGCCUACAGAGGACCCAUAUGUGUGACGUCAUCCUGAGCUGCUGCUUCGUGAGUGGUUGUUCUGCGUUCACAGACGGGACAGACAGCGUGCAGCAGCAUGCCUGAUGAUGUUUAAAAGAUGCCAAAGCGCAAGUGCAGCUUCCCUCGUACCGUCCCGGUAGUGGUAAUUUUUUUUUAUACAGAUGAGGCCUUAUUUCUGUACCAUUAUUUAAUUCCAGGGGUUUUUAAGUUAUUUUUUUGCACUUGUUGACUUGAAAAAGCCUAUAUGACAUUUUUUAUUUCACCAUUCAGCUGAAGUUCUUCAUGGCUGGGCCAAGUGUCCUCCUUUUUGGAAAUCAAAAUAUGGUCACCCUAGGUUAUGGUAAGGAAAAUAGUCAGAGGGUACUGCUAGCUAUUAAUACCAGUACUUUCUCAGAUUAACAUUAGCAAAAAGGCUGGAAAAAGGGGUGAAAUACAGCCUAGAAAAUUAUGGAAUUAAAUUAGUGCUGUCAGCAUUAAUCUCGUUAAAAUGACGUUAAUGGAAUAACCACAUUAACGCAGCAAAUCUCAGUUAGGGUGCAGCCCCAUGCUUGGGGCUGCACAGCGUCAAAGCGUUAACGCGGUUAGCUCGUUAACCUGUUAGCACCGUGCAAUAAUCAGGCCCAACCAAUAUAACCCCCACAAUAAAAUUAUAAUUUAUCUUGCAUAAAUAGGCUGUUGAUUUUCUUUACUCAUUUCAGGUAUUACCAGCAAAACAGUUGCAUGUUUAAUCAUCUGGGAAUUUACCCAGAUUUAUUUAUUUAUUUAGACAGAGAUCUUGACCCCCCCAAUGUUCAGCACAAAGUUACGCUGAUGUCGCUAACGGAGAUUUACCGCGUUAAUGCGGUUAUGCCGUUAAUGUCAUUUUAACGAGAUUAACGCUGACAGCACUAAAUUAAAUGAAAUAUUUUGUUUAUUUAAUCUACACAAACACUAAAGUAAAAAAAAAAAAAAAAGACUUUUUGAAUAAAACAGGUUUUUAACAGGUUUGAAUAUUUUGCUAGUUCCCUACAGUCAACUGAGAGCCACAAAAACUAACUCAGCAGAUUUUAUUUUAUUUAUUUAACAUUUAUUUAACCAGGAUACUGUCCUGGAUAAGAUAGAUAGCAGUACAAACUAUAAUGGUCAGAC
ensembl:lncRNA